UACGGAAGGGGCAAGCGUUGUUCGGAAUCAUUGGGCGUAAAGGGCGCGUAGGUGGUUCUGUAUGUCUAGCGUGAAAGCAUACAGCUCAACUGUAUUUUGUCGGUAGAAACUGCAGGACUUGAGGCUGGGAGGGGCUGGUGGAAUUCCCUGUGUAGCGGUGAAAUGCGUAGAGAUGGGGGAGAACACUCGUGGCGAAGGCGGCCAGCUAGACCAGUUCUGACACUGAGGCGCGACAGCGUGGGGAGCAAACAGG
rnacentral:rRNA from 1 species